UGCUUUCUGGAUCAGUGGCGAACGGGUGAGUAACACGUGAGCAAUCUGCCCCUGACUCUGGGAUAACAGUUGGAAACAGCUGCUAAUACCGGAUACGAGACGUGACCGCAUGGUCAACGUUUGGAAAGAGCUUCGGUCAGGGAUGAGCUCGCGGCCUAUCAGCUUGUUGGUGAGGUAAUGGCUCACCAAGGCGUCGACGGGUAGCCGGCCUGAGAGGGUGACCGGCCACACUGGGACUGAGACACGGCCCAGACUCCUACGGGAGGCAGCAGUGGGGAAUAUUGCACAAUGGGCGCAAGCCUGAUGCAGCAACGCCGCGUGAGGGACGACGGCCUUCGGGUUGUAAACCUCUUUUAGCAGGGAAGAAGCGAAAGUGACGGUACCUGCAGAAAAAGCACCGGCUAACUACGUGCCAGCAGCCGCGGUAAUACGUAGGGUGCAAGCGUUAUCCGGAAUUAUUGGGCGUAAAGAGCUCGUAGGCGGUUUGUCGCGUCUGCUGUGAAAACUGGAGGCUCAACCUCCAGCCUGCAGUGGGUACGGGCAGACUAGAGUGCGGUAGGGGAGAUUGGAAUUCCUGGUGUAGCGGUGGAAUGCGCAGAUAUCAGGAGGAACACCGAUGGCGAAGGCAGAUCUCUGGGCCGUAACUGACGCUGAGGAGCGAAAGGGUGGGGAGCAAACAGGCUUAGAUACCCUGGUAGUCCACCCCGUAAACGUUGGGAACUAGUUGUGGGGUCCAUUCCACGGAUUCCGUGACGCAGCUAACGCAUUAAGUUCCCCGCCUGGGGAGUACGGCCGCAAGGCUAAAACUCAAAGGAAUUGACGGGGACCCGCACAAGCGGCGGAGCAUGCGGAUUAAUUCGAUGCAACGCGAAGAACCUUACCAAGGCUUGACAUAUACGAGAACGGGCUAGAAAUAGUCAACUCUUUGGACACUCGUAAACAGGUGGUGCAUGGUUGUCGUCAGCUCGUGUCGUGAGAUGUUGGGUUAAGUCCCGCAACGAGCGCAACCCUCGUUCUAUGUUGCCAGCACGUAAUGGUGGGAACUCAUGGGAUACUGCCGGGGUCAACUCGGAGGAAGGUGGGGAUGACGUCAAAUCAUCAUGCCCCUUAUGUCUUGGGCUUCACGCAUGCUACAAUGGCCGGUACAAAGGGCUGCAAUACCGUAAGGUGGAGCGAAUCCCAAAAAGCCGGUCCCAGUUCGGAUUGAGGUCUGCAACUCGACCUCAUGAAGUCGGAGUCGCUAGUAAUCGCAGAUCAGCAACGCUGCGGUGAAUACGUUCCCGGGUCUUGUACACACCGCCCGUCAAGUCAUGAAAGUCGGUAACACCUGAAGCCGGU
rnacentral:rRNA from 1 species